rnacentral:tRNA from 1 species
CGCGGGAUGGAGCAGUCAGGUAGCUCGCAAGGCUCAUAACCUUGAGGUCGUAAGUUCGAAUCUUGCUCCCGCAACCA